rnacentral:misc_RNA from 1 species
GCCGCGAUUGCCUAGCGGACUUCAUUUCGCCCCAGCGACUGUUCCUCAUCAGUUUGCUCCACGUCUACCCUGUAGAUCCGAAUUUGUUUUAUACUAGCUUUAAGGACAAAUUCGGUUCUAGAGAGGUUUGUGUGGUUCAAUAUCCAUCGAAAAAGUGUUGCUGAUGGCAAGCGGAAAAGUGAUUUUAUAAAUAAGUUUUAAGGUCAGAAAUGCUGAUGUCAACAAAUUCGUGCAUAUGUAUUACUCUCUUGAUAAGAUUGGGUUCAUUUGUUUAAUUAAAUUAUUCAGCAUUCGCAAG